rnacentral:rRNA from 1 species
UACGAAGGGGGCGAGCGUUGUUCGGAUUUACUGGGCGUAAAGGGCGCGUAGGCGGCCUUGUCAGUCAGGCGUGAAAGCCCCGGGCUCAACCUGGGAACUGCAUUUGAAACUGGCGGGCUUGAGUGUGGCAGAGGGGGGUGGAAUUCCGCGUGUAGCAGUGAAAUGCGUAGAGAUGCGGAGGAACACCGAUGGCGAAGGCAGCCCCCUGGGCCAACACUGACGCUCAGGCACGAAAGCGUGGGGAGCAAACAGG